AUUUUCUUAAAAAGAGUGAGUGAAAAAUAAGAAAAACGAGGCGAAGAGUUGUGUGCUAUGGGAGUGGUGAGUAAAGCAGGAGAUUGGGCAUUCAAAGCCUUCUCGGCGGGGCUGGGUGUUGCCACCAUUUUCUUCGCCGCCACUUUCUCCGCCAACGUCUACCGUGGUCUCUCUUGGCAUAACCGACAAUCGAGGGUUGAGAAGGAAGGAUCUAAAGUCCUGCAGCAGCAAGAAUGAUGGUUUGAGAAGUCCUGCACUUCCACAUCGCGUUGCUAGCUGAGGUCAUGCUAUAAGUUCUGAAUCUUUUUAAAGUGAUGCAAUAACUUCUACACGAGUAUGGUUUACAUUCCGUCUUUUCUGUUCCCGGCCACAUAAUUGUGGAGAUAUAAUUCUGAGAUACCUAUUUAGUUAUAGCAACUGAUGACCGUUUUAAAAAUGUAGUUGGAAUGAUGUUUGAAAUUCAUGUGUGAAUUGAAAUUAUAGAAUACAAAGUAUUACUUUUCCUGGAAA